UCUUUUUUUUAUAUCGGUCGUCUCUGUUUAUAAAUACACCGACUCUGUCUCAGGUAGAAAAAUCAUAAUCAGUUCACAAACGCUCUUCACUUAUUCAGAGAGCGAGAGAGAGGGUUCGAUUAUAAUGGCGACAAGAGAGAGAGAGAGAGAGAGCAAACAGACAUGAAGAAGUCAGAGGAGGUAUUGUUUCGUGUUUCCUUCUUAAACCCUAAGGUCUUUGUUCGUGUUCCAACCAGGAAGAGCGAGACAGAGCGAGUGAGAGAGCGAGACAGAGAGAGAGCAAACGGACUGGAGAAUUCAGAGUAGCAGGUGUUGUGUUCCAACCUGAAGGACAAUGACUUAGAUUCAGAACAAUUAAAGGGUCGCCGGCGUUCUUACAAUAUCAAACUGGUCGAUUAAAAAGGCGUUCUAACAGUAAGUAACAACAUCAUUCAAACUGAUUGAUUAAAAGAGAAUGAGAGGACUCGUUGAAGCCCAAGGUCAAGUCUAAUAAGAAGGGAUCUUUCUUUCUAUGAUUCUCUUCUUCUUCUUAGUCCUGAUCACUUCCCCUAAAGAUCUUCUUGGAGGUUUGCUUGAAAAGCUUAAAAUUAAGUAUAAGGUAGAAAUCGUAAUGCGAUUUCAGAUACUCGAAGAGCGGCCUGUGAAGAGAGCUAAAUGAUUCGUUUUGCAUAAAUUGAAUGUGUUUGAAAAGCUUGAAGCUAAGUAUAAGGCUGAAGGGAAAGAAGAAGGAGAAAAUGAUGAAGAAGUUGAAGAAUUAGAGGGAGAAGAAUCUGAUUACGGAGAUUAUGAUCAG